rnacentral:rRNA from 1 species
UACGGAGGGGCGAGCGUUAUUCGGAAUCAUUGGGCGUAAAGGGCGCGUAGGCGGCCCGUAAGUCUUGGUGAAAGCCCUCGGCUCAACCGAGGAAUUGCCUUGGACUACUGCGGGCUCGAGGCUGGAAGAGGCAGUGGAAUUCCGGUGUAGCGGUGAAUGCGUAGAUAUCGGGAGGAACACCAGUGGCGAAGGCGGCUGCCUGGGCCA